rnacentral:rRNA from 1 species
UAUCUCUGUAGAGUCUGCAUAUCAAUAAGCGGAGGAAAAGAAACUAACUAGGAUUCCCUCAGUAACGGCGAGUGAAGCGGGAAGAGCUCAAAUUUGAAAUCUUCAAGGUUCUACCUUGACGAAUUGUAGUUUAAAGAAGUGUUUUCUGUUGGAGUUUUGGUAAAAGUUCUUUGGAAUAGGACAUCAUAGAGGGUGAGAAUCCCGUAUUUGACCAUUAUUUCCAGCUUUGUGAUACACUUUCAAAGAGUCGGAUUGUUUGGGAAUGCAGUCCAAAAUGGGUGGUAAAUUUCAUCUAAAGCUAAAUAUUGGCGAGAGACCGAUAGCGAACAAGUACCGUGAGGGAAAGAUGAAAAGAACCUUGAAAAGAGAGUUAAACAGUACGUGAAAUUGUCAAAAGGGAAGCGUUUGACACCAGUGUUGUUUUCUCGAAAAUCAAUUAAAAAAGGCAGGAUUUUGUGUUGUAUUGACUUUAUCAGCUUUCUGCACUCUUUUCUUGUCUUUUUUAAUGCACUUUUCGUUUAACAAGUCAACAUCAAUUUCUUUUGUUGUAAAAGGGUCAUUGGAAGGUGGCUUUCUUUUCGGAGAAAGUGUUUAUAGCCUUUGGCUUCUGCAAUCGGAGAGAUUGAGGUCUGCAGCGUAGAUCCUUCGGGGUUAGAUACAUUUGUGCUAAGUUAUAGCCUUUCAUAGACAACUUGUUGACUAUGAUCAGUCAUGUAGCUUACUCGCUUAUGCUAUUUUACCUACGCUUAGGAUGUUGACGAUCAGCUGAGCGCG